rnacentral:rRNA from 1 species
GACGAACGCUGGCGGCGUGCUUAACACAUGCAAGUCGAACGGUGAAGCGCCUUCCUUUUUGGUGGGUGUGGAUGAGUGGCGAACGGGUGAGUAACACGUGAGUAACCUGCCCCCUUCUUCUGGAUAACCGCAUGAAAGUGUGGCUAAUACGGGAUAUUCUGGGUCUGUCGCAUGAUGGGUCUGGGAAAGAUAUUGUUUCGGUGGGGGAUGGGCUCGCGGCCUAUCAGCUUGUUGGUGGGGUGAUGGCCUACCAAGGCGGUGACGGGUAGCCGGCCUGAGAGGGUGGGCGGUCCAACUGGGACUGAGACACGGCCCAGACUCCUACGGGAGGCAGCAGUGGGGAAUAUUGCACAAUGGGCGCAAGCCUGAUGCAGCGACGCCGCGUGAGGGAUGGAGGCCUGCGGGUUGUGAACCUCUUUCGCCAGUGAAGCAGGCCUGCCUCGUUUGUGGGUGGGUUGACGGUAGCUGGAUAAGAAGCGCCGGCUAACUACGUG